AUACGGAGGGUGCAAGCGUUACUCGGAAUCACUGGGCGUAAAGCGCGCGCAGGCGGCUAUUUAAGUUGGAUGUGAAAGCCUACGGCUCAACCGUAGAACUGCAUCCAAAACUAUUUAGCUAGAGUGUGGGAGAGGAAGAUGGAAUUAGUUGUGUAGGGGUAAAAUCCGUAGAGAUAACUAGGAAUACCAAAAGCGAAGGCAAUCUUCUGGAACACUACUGACGCUGAGGCGCGAAAGCGUGGGGAGUAAACGGGAUUAGAAACCCUAGUAGUCC
rnacentral:rRNA from 1 species